GAUUUCUGAUGUGACCUGCCUGGCCCGCCGUGGUUACACGUGUGAGUGCCGGGUGUUGUCCGUCUGUCUUCCUGUUCCAUCGGCUGCCCUCUUCACUGAGUGGUGGUUGUACUGAGCAGGAUCUUUUACUUUGAACAAAUUAGAGUGUUUCAAGCAGGCUUCUGCCAUGAAUACAUUAGCAUGGAAUAAUCAUUUAGGACUUCGGUUCUAUUUUGUUGGUUUCUAGGACUGAAGUAAUGAUUGAUAGGGAUAGUUGGGGGUGCUAGUAUUCAGCGGCCAGAGGUGAAAUUCUCGGAUUCGCUGAAGACUAACUUAUGCGAAAGCAUU
rnacentral:rRNA from 1 species